rnacentral:rRNA from 1 species
UACGUAGGGGGCAAGCGUUGUCCGGAUUCAUUGGGCGUAAAGAGCGUGUAGGCGGCCAGGUAGGUCGGUUGUGAAAACUGGAGGCUCAACCUUCAGAGGUCGACCGAAACCAUCUGGCUAGAGUCCGGGAGAGGAGAGUGGAAUUCCUGGUGUAGCGGUGAAAUGCGCAGAUAUCAGGAGGAACACCGGUGGCGAAGGCGGUGGUCUGGGCCGACACUGACGCUGUAGAGCGAAAGCGUGGGGAGCGAACAGG